GGUGAAACAACAACGACGUGUGUAUUAUUUACACAUACGUACAGCUAUAGAUUAGGUACAUUUGUGCAGUACCGGUAUGGUACCGAGCAUUUAUAGUUUAAGAAUAACAUAUUUUUAUUAAUGCAUGUACCUUAUAGCAUGAAAAAAAAUCAUUUAAUCGCAUUUGGUUCGCCUUUAAACGUGUGAAUUUUAAACCUUGAAAUUCUGACCGGGGAUCAUUAUUCAUAUAUAGUUUCGAGCACCCGGGAUCCUGGCAGUGACCAGUACGUCGACGUACUUAUGAUCAUAAGUAACAGAGAGGUUCCAAGAAGCGUGGAGCUCUGGGCCAGUGAUCGUGGGUGUGUUUUGGGAGAGAGGGGAGGAUUUAAGUGGGGAGGAGUGUAACAGGAGCAGCUUUCCAGUGCUUAUACUAGCAGUAGCUAGUGGAAAUUUCCCUUUAGCUCCGUUGGUAGAGCGCUGGACAUUGGCUGCGGAGACCCAAGUUCGAAUUCUUGUGUCACCCACGUAGGGAAAUCCUUCAGUGAUUACAUAGGUACAUGUAAGCAAAUUGUACACUCAUUCCAAGUUGGUAAUUCUUAACUUGAUGUAUUGUUAUCAUACAUUACAUCCAGGCUACCAUAUUUUAUCCUGGCCAAACGAAAACUUUCUGCGAAUUUCACACUUGUACCUGUAAUCUCAAUUCGCUGGAAACUACCUCAGCAUUCUGCAAAUAAGUAUGAAGUUAUGUUACAAAAUUACCACUACACAUUUCUUUCAAAUUCAGUUUCAUAAAGGUCAAAGGGGAAAUGACAGCCAUUUUGCAAUAAUCACUUCUCAUUUCUCAUUUUGUUAUGUGCAUGGGCAGUUAUCUGCUGUAAAUUUCACUCACAAAUAUUAAAAUUUACCCUCAAGUUCCUUUAUAUCAAGCUUUCUCUGAUAUUCAUAUUGUUCUCUGUUUCAGUGUGCAUGAAGUAGGACCAUACAAUGUGCACUCUCAUCAAAUGCGCUGUGAAGUUCACGCUGUCAACACUAAAGUCACAUCGAUGCACAUUGUCAAAAAUUCAGGCUUGUUUGUACUCUUUAUUUUUUUUUGUGUGUAUAAUUUAAACGUAGUAGUUGAACUAUGUCUAGUUAUGUUAAGCAUUUAGAUACUGUGUAUUCCAUCGCUGUUUUCUUUCCUGCCUAUAACCUAGAGUUCCUCUUCAGCCGUAAGUGGGAAGGUCUGUCAGCAACCUGCGGAUUGUCAUGGAUUUCCCCCGGGCUCGGCACAGUUUCCACCCACCAUAAUGCUGACCGCCGUUGUAUAAGUGAAAUAUUCUUGGGUGCGGCAUAAAACACCAAUCAAAUAAAAUAAAGAAAUAAAUAUAACCUAGAGUUUUACUUUACAUACUACUAACACUAAUAAUCAGUUUAUUACACACAUAUUUUCUUUUCUAACAUUUCAUCAUUUGUUUUGUAUGCACGUGUAAUUCAGCUGCCAAUAUCAUUUUAAUGUCUAAACAGUGUUUCAAAUUCUUGGGUGACAAAAUAAUAACUCCUGUUACAGGCUAUCCCCUUCAUUUGGAGCCCACCAAUUCUCUAAGCUGAUGUGUCUAACUAUUCAGUGCUCACAAGUGGUGGAGCUGUGCAAGCUUGUCCUUGGAGAGUUCAACAUUGACUGAUACAGGGGAAGAGAAGCCGCACUCAGCACAGGCAAACCUCUCUGUGACGCACACACCCCAAGGCACCUCGCUGUUCAAAUCUCAGUUCAGCCCUUCAGGACAGUAUGAUGUUGUGGUCCAGUGGUAGGCAAAUGCGGUAUUCUACAGC